rnacentral:rRNA from 1 species
UAGGGAAUAUUGCACAAUGGGCGAAAGCCUGAUGCAGCAACGCCGCGUGUGCGAUGAAGGCCUUCGGGUCGUAAAGCACUUUUCUGGGAGAUGAGGAAGGACAGUACCCUCAGAAUAAGCCUCGGCUAACUACGUGCCAGCAGCCGCGGUAAAACGUAGGAGGCGAGCGUUAUCCGGAUUUACUGGGCGUAAAGCGCGUGCAGGCGGAUUGGAGAGUUGGAUGUGAAAGCUCCCGGCUUAACUGGGAGAGGUCGUUCAAUACUUCCAGUCUUGAGUGCAGUAGAGGGAAGUGGAAUUCCGGGUGUAGUGGUGAAAUGCGUAGAUAUCCGGAGGAACACCAGUGGCGAAAGCGGCUUCCUGGACUGUAACUGACGCUCAGACGCGAAAGCUAGGGUAGCAAACG